GAGACACCCUUCUGGGGCAAGACGUGCUUCAGUGGGGCUUUGAUGCUCACUGAGUCUGCCCCCUGAGUGUGUCCCU
rfam:Myotis lucifugus cont2.21850, whole genome shotgun sequence.